rnacentral:lncRNA from 1 species
UAAUCAUAAAUCAUUUUGGAUUCUUUACUUUUUCUCAAUGUGCAAUUACAGCUUAUUAAUCCUAAAUCCUAAAAAAUAGCAAUUACAGAUAAACUCUUUAUACAUAAUAAUGAAUGUCACAAUCUAUGACAAAUAAAGUAUACAAUAAUUUUACUGAUAAAAGAUAGUUUUAUUAGUAUUCAAGCAAACCAAUUACAUUCUGAUCACCCUGUAUAAAUACAUCGUCAUGUCGUAAGAUUUCACAUUAAAAAACAGAAUCUAAAACACCAUGGUUGUCACUACACUGCUGUAGCUUUAUACCCCUGAGACUGCAAUGCUUCACUACUUGGCAAAGCUCGAUCUAUUGCACUGGAUCACCCCCACCAUAGACUAUACUGUUGUUGUAAUGUUACCAUGCAUGUAAUCUGCUCUGCCAGUGGUAUCCUGACAUUAUUGGCAUUCAGUCCAUUGAUGAUCUGCAUGGAGAUUAAAUAAUUAUAUAAGCAUAAAAAUUAAUCAGAUCUUGUGUUUGCCAUUGUUUGAAUUAUUUCUUUAUUGUAAAGGAACAAAUAUAUUAUUCUGAUAAGAAGCUAUUAUAUCGUAAGCUUUCUACUUGAAUGGUGAAUGAAAGAUCAAAGAGAGACGCCAAGCAACAUACAUGUACUUGAGUGUUUUGGAUCAGAAUCCAGAGUGACUAGGCCUAUACCCCCAUCAAUUGCACCCAGGCUAAAUGCCCUUACGAUGUGGACCUACAACAAUGACAAACAUAUGGUAAAAUCAGGUGGUCGACAGAAAAUCACAAAUGAUUACUUACAGGAAAAAGUUCCCUGAUUAACCCACUUCAUAGUAAUAUUAUAGGACACUAAGUUCAACCAUAACAAUUUUUUUACCCAAGUUGUUCAAUAACUAGAGCUAGCAAACUUCAAGCAAUCAGAAAACAAUUACGAGACAACAAUCAACAAACUAUAAAUGGAGAAAUUUUUGAAACACCGAAAGAAAUGAACAACAGCUUGCUACUGACCUCAAAGGUGCCUCUGCAGGCUUAUCCAAAACUACUUGUUGAAAACUUGGUACUGACCUCGAAGGUGUCUCGGGUUUAUUGAGAACGACCUGUUCAAACUUAUUGCAGUCAGCCAAUAUGGAUGUAAUUAAAGUAGGCAUGCAGUGUACUAUGGUUUAUUUAUUCAUCAGCAUUAAAAUGUAAAAUUACGACACUAAUGAGCAACUUUCUUAUGAAUUAUUCAAAGAAAUAUGUCUGCAAAUUUUGUGCAAUUGUAUUAACAAAAUUGUAAAUGUAUUCCCAUCAUCAUCAUAUCAUAACAUCCAAAAUCUCAUUGAAAUGCAUAUUAAUUAUUAACCAAUCUACAGAGCUCAAACAAAUAAGUGACAUGCAGAGAGUGAGUGAGAGAGAAUUGAACCAUGGAAAGGGGAGUCAGGGGCUCAGAGGAGCUUUGUAAAUCCAGAAAUAGGAGAAUUUUCAGAGCUACAGAGGCAAACACAACAAGCAUUUUAAAGAGAAUUAAAGGGACACCUCUCACUUAAAAGCCCUAAACUUAUAAUUCAGAAAACCCCAAUUCUUACAUCAAGCCAAUAAAUUUAAUUUAGUAAAAUGAAAGAGAAACCAGAAAAAGAAUUAUAAGUAACACUCAC